UUUCUCUCAACUACCAAGACCAAAUGGAGAAUAUAAAAGGAUGGAAGUUGGAAACCUAGGGGGACGCGUAAUUUUCCUAUUUGAAGCCAGCUUUUGAGACCUUUCUCUGCAUUUUAGUUUUCCACAGCAAUUCUAUUUUUCUUUUAUUUUUCUUCAGCAACAUUGUUUUCUUUUACCGUUCAGAGCUUUGAUUUUCCCUUUUCCCUUUCCGUUUUUUCAUUUAGCC
rnacentral:lncRNA from 1 species